GCAUUGCUGAGGCUCUGUUGGUAGUGCAUUGUGCUAGCAAAGCAAAGGUGGUGGAUUCAAAUCCCAGGGAAAGCA